GCUUUUUAAGCUUUUAACAAGACACUUCUCCAUCCGCGCCUGCUGCCCUGCUCCGCCUUCCGCAGCUCGACGAAGGUAUAGUGGAGUCGAAGGUCUUCACACCAAAGUGACUGAGUUUGAGGACACAAAGUGUCUUGUUUGUGGUCCUGGUGUUCUUAUUUCUUAUUGAGCUAGAACCUUCAGUUACUCUGAAAAAGCCCAUGCCAUAGUGUAGCUGAGUAGCAGACUAUCAAACGCCAUCCCAGGGAAGAGACUAUGAAAGUCAAGAUUAUACGUGGCAUGCUGUUGCUUCAUGGACAUGGGAUGCGCAGGAUGAGACUUGUGGAAUUUG